AAAAAUAUCCAUUUUAUCGAUGGUUCUUAAGUUUUUACCGACCAAGUGAUCUAAUCGGAGACGAUGAAGCAGCUUCACCAGAAUGAGAGAUCGGAUUACGGUGACAAUGGGAAGGCUCGAGCUUCAAGAGUAAUGGAUUGAUUUGAAAACCAUAGAGAAAGAAGAGAGUGUAGAAAAAUGGGGAAAGAAGUUAGGAUGAGGGAUUACGGUGACGACGAUACACAUGAUAGGGUUUUCUGCUGGGAUUUGGAAAUCAACAUUUCACUAUGCUGGAUUGGUUUUGCAAAUCUGAGAUUGCAAAGGGGAAAGAAGAAGCUUGGAUAGAUGACCAACUGUUCAUUACAUGGAAGGACAACGUUAGUAAUUUCGGAGAUGCUUCUUAAACUUGUAAUAAGCUUCAACGCUACUUAUGAAGUCUUGCUCACAACCAACACUGCUUUUCAGAAGCCCAUCCCUCUAGCAAUCUGGAAAAAAUUGCAGAAAAUGGUGGAUUUUUUGUUUGAUAUUUGGCAUGGGGAUGGUCUGUGUGACUAGGUUACACCAAGAGGUGAUUCUUAGUAUUUCUGGUACAAAAUUUAGUUGCAAGCUCUAAUGAUCAAAAUUUCAAUAUCUUUUACAAGAGACUCUGGUUUUUUAUGAACAUAGGUGUUUUUGAGAAUCUCUUCCAUGUCAAUUCACCAAAAACAAAGCAAGGAUCGAUCAUGCUUUUGUUUAAUUAUCUUAUUAUGUAAGAGAUUUUGACUAUGCCAUUUGGUUGUUCACCACCAUGUGAUAUUUUGUAUUAAAGGUUUGGAUACUUUGCUAGGUAUGUUUUCACCGGUAAUCAUAUAAGAAG